rnacentral:tRNA from 2 species
GCCCAGGUGGCGGAAUUGGUAGACGCGUUGGUCUCAAACACCAAUGGGGUAACCCGUGCCGGUUCGAGCCCGGCCCUGGGUA